rnacentral:rRNA from 1 species
GACGAACGCUGGCGGCGUGCUUAACACAUGCAAGUCGAACGGAAAGGCCCCCUUGUGGGGUACUCGAGUGGCGAACGGGUGAGUAACACGUGAGUAACCUACCCUUGACUUUGGGAUAACUUCAGGAAACUGGGGCUAAUACCGGAUAGGAGCUCCUGCUGCAUGGUGGGGGUUGGAAAGUUUCGGCGGUUGGGGAUGGACUCGCGGCUUAUCAGCUUGUUGGUGGGGUAGUGGCUCACCAAGGCUUUGACGGGUAGCCGGCCUGAGAGGGUGACCGGCCACAUUGGGACUGAGAUACGGCCCAGACUCCUACGGGAGGCAGCAGUGGGGAAUAUUGCACAAUGGGCGGAAGCCUGAUGCAGCAAUGCCGCGUGCGGGAUGACGGCCUUCGGGUUGUAAACCGCUUUCGCCUGUGACGAAGCGUGAGUGACGGUAAUGGGUAAAGAAGCACCGGCUAACUACGUG